GAGCAGACGGUGCCGCGCCCCAAAGCGCGGUUAAAAGGGAAACAGGUGAGAGACCUGUGCGAGCUCGUCACUGUAAGCCGGGAGCGCAUGUCCAUUGCCGGAAGGCAGGUCACUGACCCGAAAGGGUUGGGAAGGCGGUCAUGCGUUAGGAUCGGCAAGCCAGGAAACCUGCCGUCUGUU
rnacentral:ncRNA from 1 species